rnacentral:rRNA from 1 species
GAUGAACGCUAGCGGCAGGCUUAAUACAUGCAAGUUGAGGGGCAGCAUGAUAUACGCGAGUAUAUUGAUGGCGACCGGCGGACGGGUGAGUAAUAGGUAGGAGACCUACCUCAUACAGGGGGAUAGCAUAGAGAAAUCUGUGGUAAUACCCCAUGAGGUUAUAUGAAUAGAGGCAUAUAAUCAAAGCAUAAGCGAUUAUGCGGUAUGAGAGGGGCCUACUGACCAUUAGCUAGUUGGUGAGGUAAGGGCUCACCAAGGCGAAGAUGGUUAGGGGUUUUGAGAGAGAGACCCCCCACAUUGGAACUGAGAGACGGUCCAGACUCCUACGGGAGGCAGCAGUAGGGAAUAUUGGGCAAUGGGCGAAAGCCUGACCCAGCCAUGCCGCGUGAAGGAAGACGGCCUUAUGGGUUGUAAACUUCUUUACUACGCGAAUAGAGGUUAGUACGAGAUACUAAUAGGAAGGUAGUGUAAGUAAAAGCACCGGCUAACUCCGU